rnacentral:tRNA from 1 species
CGGAUUAGGCCCGGGUUGGUUAGGGAUCUCGUUUGGGACGGGAAACAGUUAUGUUCGAAUCAUAAUAAUCCGA